UAACUGCAUACAUAUGAUGGUCGCUGCGAUUGAAGAAUCCAGGGUUAAAAGGGAAAUCGGUGAAAAUCCGAUACAGUUACCUCUGCUGUGAUGUUGACGACAAAACGAUUACCAUUGAGUGAAUAAAAAGCUUGAGAAGGUGUUUUGGAGGAUGAAACUAAGUCAGAAUAUCUGCCGUCAUUACAGAUAAUGUU
rnacentral:ncRNA from 18 species